AGUGAACGCUGGCGGUAGGCCUAACACAUGCAAGUCGAACGGCAGCACAGUAAGAGCUUGCUCUUACGGGUGGCGAGUGGCGGACGGGUGAGGAAUACAUCGGAAUCUACUUUUUCGUAGGGGAUAACGUAGGGAAACUUACGCUAAUACCGCAUACGACCUACGGGUGAAAGCAGGGGAUCUUCGGACCUUGCGCGAUUGAAUGAGCCGAUGUCGGAUUAGCUAGUUGGCGGGGUAAAGGCCCACCAAGGCGACGAUCCGUAGCUGGUCUGAGAGGAUGAUCAGCCACACUGGAACUGAGACACGGUACAGACUCCUACGGGAGGCAGCAGUGGGGAAUAUUGGACAAUGGGCGCAAGCCUGAUCCAGCCAUACCGCGUGGGUGAAGAAGGCCUUCGGGUUGUAAAGCCCUUUUGUUGGGAAAGAAAAGCAGCAGGUUAAUACCCCGCUGUUCUGACGGUACCAAAAGAAUAAGCACCGGCUAACUUCGUG
rnacentral:rRNA from 1 species